rnacentral:misc_RNA from 1 species
UUAUCUAAGGAACAUAAACGGGAGAUGUGCCGCUACCUGUACAACCAUCAGAACAGAGAUGGUGGAUGGGGCUUACACAUCGAGGGGCCGAGCACCAUGUUUGGUAGUGUCCUGUGCUAUGUCACUCUAAGGUUGCUUGGCGAAGGGGUUAAUGAUGGGGAAGGGGCCAUGGAGAGAGGACGUAGUUGGAUUCUGGACCAUGGUGGUGCUACUGCAAUAACAUCAUGGGGAAAAAUGUGGCUUUCAGUACUGGGAGCAUUUGAGUGGUCUGGCAAUAAUCCCCUGCCCCCUGAAAUAUGGCUUCUUCCGUAUAUUCUCCCCUUCCAUCCAGGGAGGAUGUGGUGUCACUGUCGGAUGGUCUAUUUGCCAAUGUCAUAUUUAUAUGGGAAGAGGUUUGUUGGCCCAAUCACACCAACAGUUUUAUCUUUGAGAAAGGAGAUAUUUACUGUCCCAUAUCAUGAAAUAGAUUGGAAUCAAGCACGCAACCAAUGUGCAAAGGAAGAUUUGUACUACCCAC